AAACUUGUACUUUCACUUUCGUCUUGCUCGAUCGAUCGUGUUGUCUUAUGGAUAUGAAUACAUCUGAUCAGGAAAAAAGGCAAAUAUCCAAUCUUCCAUUGGAGGAUUCUGUUUGGUUCAUAGAGUUUACACUAGACGAUGGAGACAGUAGUCUUCAAAUAGUUGAUAAGUACUGCAGAAACAUUGGACAUAUUCAAGCAAAUUUAACAUGCAAUCCCCGGCCAGAAGACAUUUUGAACUGUUUUAUGAAAGCUUGUUUGUUUCCAUGCAAAGGCUCGGCACGUAGACCAAGACACAUUGUGCUGAAAGGAGAGCUUCUUGAGCAAUUCCUUGACAAUGCUUUCCUCUUUGAGAACUUUGAGCAGCUCGGUGUUGCUUUGGCAGGUUCUAAAGCCACGCAGUCCCCAGGAGAUGUAAGAUGGAGAGAGUGUCACUUCUGUCAUCUUCGUGCAGAGCAGAGACUCCUAACCUACUGCCCAAUGUGCCAGGCAGUGCUGUAUUGUUCCAGCGAGUGUCAGAAUGAGGACACACAUGGCAGCUCUGGAUUGACUUCUCACGGGUUUUGGUGUUCAAAGUUUCUCUCAUACAUGGAGGACACUGCUAAACUCUCAGAGCUUCCAUUUGAAUUUUCAUCAGAUACCUGUUCACCUGAUUUUGAUGCCAGCAAAUACAGAUCAUUUCUGAAGGACAAAGGUGUGUUUGGAGAGGGAUGUUGGAGAAGAGAAGGGCUAAUGUCUACAGAUGAAUCUCAAAAACAUAAAUAUGGUAAACACAUUGAUCUGGAUAAUCCGUAUGUUUUACCUGUGGAAUCAUGCAUGUUGGAUGACCCACUUUCAGUAGAUUCCGAGUCAUCCAUCGUGGAUUGGGGAUCGUACUAUGAAUCCCGUGGGAUUGACUUGUCCUCACCAAUAGCCAUCCUACUGCAGUGGCCAUUGACUGUGUUUUUUAUCAUCAAAUACCUUAUGAAUGCAGUGAUUUUGACCACCACAUCAACAUUGAUAUCAUUGGAGUAGAAAAAGAAGUAGAACUCAUACCUGUUUUCAAAGAGUUGGGUAACUUGCUAGGUGACCGGGUUAUUGAUAUUCAAAUGUUUGGGAGACAUUUACAUCAUUGUGUGAGGGAGAAAGUAUGGACAAUCUCCAAUGUGACCAUUACAGUACACAAUCAGUUAUAUCACAAGCAUUCUCCCCAGUACAGAGCCCCUCAUCUGGUUAUAGGUUUCAAUGCUGGUUUAGCAGCAUAUUCUUCAUGGAUACCUACUAUCAAAAAGCUGAAGGAUAUGAAGGUCCCAGCAUUCUUCACUGACUACUGCAGGUCCAGUAUUGAAUUAUCCAGCCUGAUGCUGCAGGACCAUUGUGACAUCAAUGUCUCUGACCCCGUGCUGAACCCCUUCCGAUCCCCCAUCAGGACGACCAGCAGUGACCAUGACCUUCCAUGGUUUAGCAAUGCAUAUAUAUUUUGUUUAGAAUAUACAUGAUUCUAAUUCAU
rnacentral:misc_RNA from 1 species